GAUACCCCAGGAGCAGCUGCCCCUGGGCUGCGGUGUCACAAAGACAGAAGUCACAAUGCAGAAACAGUGUCUCACGGGUGCAUUUGGCAAAGCCUGAGGAAGUGUCACCGGUCAUCUGCUCAGCGAGCGGGACACCUGAAAGCCCAGCUGGGGCAGCCUGCAGGGCGCCUUCACCCACUGCUGCUGCUCAGAGACAAUCAGGAUUGCCCUGGGACCAUCUCCCACUGUCCCACCAAGUGCAGCGGGACCUGGAGCUGGGCACAGGGGCCUUAGGAAUGGACAGGUGGUCUCCAGGAGCUUGGGGCGACAGUGCGGUGCUGAGCAGGGCUGAAAUAAUGCUGCCCCAUCUCUGAGGACCCCAUGCUGAUGGGAGGCCUAGGGUAUCCCAGGCUGAAUCAAGCGCUCCUGAUGGCUGUUGCGGUGCUGGCCGUUCCCCUGCGUGGCCUGAUAGACCUCUCCCAGCCUGCUGACCAUGUGUGCCACGCCCGACUUUAUAGGUCCCCCAGGACGAGCUCCGCCAGUGUCACCCCGCUGUGCCGCUGGACCGCCUCGUUCACACCUGCAGCCCUGACUCGGGAUCCCCGCGGCCAGCAGCCUCGCCCACGCCUGCGCCCGGUGUGUCUGACGGCACCUCCACUUCUCGCGUCCCGCGGAGCCUCACGUUUCCCUGCCUCAGGCCUUCCUCCGCAGGCUUCCGUCUCAGCCCUCCUUCCCUGGGUCCCACCUGGACUGCUCCCUUUCCCACAUGUCAUUCUCUCUGCCCCCCACAUGUACCCUGAAUCUGGGUACUUUUCUCCCUCUCCGGUGCCUUACUCUUAACCCAAGCCACUGUCAUCUCCACCUAGGCUCCUGGAGCAAUAGUAAAUAAUUACAAUAUUUAUUGGUUUACCAGGGACUCUGCUAAGCAUUUCAUCUGUAUCAGCCUGUUUAAUCCUCACCACAACCCUGUGAGCUGGACACUAUCUUUGCUUACAGAUAGGGAAACUGAGACACAGAGAGGUUAAGCGAUUUGCGCAAGCUCACACAGCUGUUAGGAGGAUGUUCCAGGAUUCAAACCCUGGCAGUUUGGCCCUGGUGACCCACAGAGUGCUGUCUGGCUUCUCAUGCAGGGCAGAGAAGGUCAGAGCUGGGCUCCUCCCAGGCACCUGUGGUGGAAGGAGGAAAGGGGAAAGAGACACGGUGGCCCAAGGGAUCUAGGAAGCAAAGUGGGAGUUGGGAAUCUGUGACCUUGGACUUAGUGUGGUUUCCUAUGGUGACAAGGACAGAAGUGGCAGAGGAGGUGGGGAAUGUAUGGCCAAGAUGGGCAGAGGGAAAGAUCACUGGACAGAGAGGACCUCAGUUCCAGAUCUUGUAGAUAAGCCCUGUUCCACAGACCUACCCUCUUCAGCCUCCUCUUGGGUCCAAAGACACCUUCAUCCUACGCUCUGUCUGCACCCAGUCCCAUCAGAUCAUGCUUGUCGCCUGCCCACUCACCUGCUUGUGCCCUGGGACAGCCUGUGUCUGCCACCUGUGGCUGUGUGCGUGUGCUCCGUGACAGUGCCUGCCCAAGUGCCUGGGGAGGCGCUGGUUGCCUGGGCUUCAUCUUAGGCCUCUCCUGGGGUGCAGAACCUGGAAGCAGGGUUGGGGGAGCCCCAGGGCUGCUGACGCCUGGAACCUGCUCCUGGAGAGACCCAGGAGCUCGGAGGGCGAUUCCCACAGACCCAGGGAAGGGAGGCCGCCAGGUAGGCUGGGACAGGAGGGAACGCUCCAUCCUUACUCUCCAAGCCAAUGUGCUGAAUUUUACUUUUCCUUUUAUUUAUUUCUUCUUCUUAAAUCCUGUUUCUCUCCCUGAGGCAUCUAAUCUAUUAUUUAACAUUGGAUUGUGCGAUUGAAACUCCCAGGCAAAUUGAAAAUUAUUUGUGUUUGAAG
rnacentral:lncRNA from 1 species